rnacentral:rRNA from 1 species
CCUACGGGAGGCAGCAGUGGGGAAUAUUGGACAAUGGGCGAAAGCCUGAUCCAGCAAUGCCGCGUGAGUGAUGAAGGCCUUAGGGUUGUAAAGCUCUUUUACCAGGGAUGAUAAUGACAGUACCUGGAGAAUAAGCUCCGGCUAACUCCGUGCCAGCAGCCGCGGUAAUACGGAGGGAGCUAGCGUUGUUCGGAAUUACUGGGCGUAAAGCGUACGUAGGCGGUUAUUCAAGUCAGAGGUGAAAGCCUGGAGCUCAACUCCAGAACUGCCUUUGAAACUAGAUAGCUAGAAUCACGGAGAGGUUAGUGGAAUUCCGAGUGUAGAGGUGAAAUUCGUAGAUAUUCGGAAGAACACCAGUGGCGAAGGCGACUAACUGGACGUGUAUUGACGCUGAGGUACGAAAGCGUGGGGAGCAAACAGGAUUAGAUACCCUGGUAGUCCACGCCGUAAACGAUGAUAACUAGCUGUUCGGUCUCUACGAGACUGAGUGGCGCAGCUACGACAUUAAGUUAUCCGUCCGUCGGGUAGGUACGGUCGCGAAGAAUUAAAACUAACAAGAAAGUUAGUACGGACGUGAGACGUGCCGAACGGACGACGACGAGGGAGGUAGG